rnacentral:rRNA from 1 species
GACGAACGCUGGCGGCGUGCUUAACACAUGCAAGUCGAACGGAAAGGCCCUGCUUGCAGGGUACUCGAGUGGCGAACGGGUGAGUAACACGUGGGUGAUCUGCCCUGCACUUCGGGAUAAGCCUGGGAAACUGGGUCUAAUACCGGAUAGGAGCCAUUUUUAGUGUGAUGGUUGGAAAGUUUUUUCGGUGUAGGAUGAGCUCGCGGCCUAUCAGCUUGUUGGUGGGGUAAUGGCCUACCAGGGCGGCGACGGGUAGCCGGCCUGAGAGGGUGGACGGCCACAUUGGGACUGAGAUACGGCCCAGACUCCUACGGGAGGCAGCAGUGGGGAAGAUUGCACAAGGGGCGCAAGCCUGAUGCAGCGACGCCGCGUGGGGGAUGACGGCCUUCGGGUUGUAAACUCCUUUCGCUAGGGACGAAGCUUUUUGUGACGGUACCUAGAUAAGAAGCACCGGCUAACUACGUG